rnacentral:tmRNA from 1 species
GGGGGUGCACCGGUUUCGACUGAUAUGGUCCGAUUUGCGAGUUGCAGGUGGAGGGGCGCCGCCUCCUAACAAUUGACGCAAAAAUUUAGUUGCCAAUAACGACGACUACGAUUACGCUUUAGCAGCAUAAUCGCGUGGAACCGCCCCGCCGCCUUGAGGGACGGUUUCUGCGUUGCAAUCAGGGCUGGCCUGACGGCGCCUUCCGCUCGCCGUCGCGGUAAGAUUUAGCGGGAUAAGGUACGGCCGCCCGCCGCGAAGCAAAGCCGUUCCCUACAACCCAAUACGCGGCUAAACCUGUAGAGGUUCGCAGACCGCAUGUUAGGACGCGAGUUCAACUCUCGCCACCUCCAAAU